rnacentral:rRNA from 1 species
AUGUCGAUGGGCGCUGUCCUGUCCGCCGUGCGCGCCGCCGGCAGGCAGCAGCUCUCCGCUUCAAUCGUCGCCGCGAGGCAGGUGUCCGCCUCCCACGUGCUCCGGAUCGACGGGUACUCGCGAAUCAGCAAGAUACUGGCCACCGGGCAGGCGACGAGGUCAGGCACGUUCAGCGUCGGCGGCCACGACUGGCAUAUUUUGCACUAUCCAAACGGCUGCUUCGAGCAGCACAAGGGCUCCCUCUCCUUCUUCCUGGAGCAUGCCAGCCACGCAAAGACCGGGGAUACCACGGCAAAGGUGGAGCUGAGCAUACUCGACCACGCCUCCAAGCCAUCGCACACACAAACCAAGGCAGAUUACCGCUUCUCCAACGCCACUUCCCUCAACUGGGGCUGGAGAGACUUCAUCAAACACGAGGAUCUGGACGUGGAGAAGCAUCUCAAGGACGAUUGCCUGACCAUCCUCUGCGACGUCACCGUCACCGUGCUGGACACCGAAGACCACUCCGAGGCUGCCGCACCGGAGCCUACUGUCGUGGAGCCUCCGUUCGGCAUGCGCGGGCAACUCGCGGAAUUCAUCUGGAACAAGAAGGAAGUGGACGUGCACAUCGAGGUCGGCGGUGAGACGCUCCCCGCGCACCGGCGGAUACUCGAGGCCGCAUCACCCGUCUUCAAGGCGCACCUCUCGCUCGCCUCGGCAACCACCGGCCGCGGCGGCGGCUGCAACAGCAACACCGCCUUACUACGCGUCGACGACAUGGACGCCGAGGUGUUCAAGGCCCUGCUCCAGUUUAUAUACUUGGACUCGCCUCCCCGGCCCCUGGAGAAGACGAUGGCAGAGAGGCUGCUCGUCGCGGCGGACAGAUAUGAGCUGGAGAAGUUGAAGCUCAUAUGCGAGGCAGCAUUGUUGCAGCACGUCGAUCUGAGCUCCGUGGCUGCUGCUCUAGCGUUGGCCGAGCGGCAUCAUUGCUCCGUGCUGAGGACCGCAUGCGUGCAGUUCCUCUCUUCUCCCGGUAACCUGGAAGCAUUCAUGGCAUCGGGUGACUUCGCACAGCUAAAGACGGGUUGUCCCUCUGCUCUGUUGGAGCUCCUCGUGAAGAAGAUGAUGCGUCAAGAGAAAGGCAUGUCUACCAUGCACAGGAUAUCCCGUGCAUGUAGCAGCCAUUGA